AUGUGUACGUGGUGUUUGAGGUUGUGGAGGGGUGAGUACAGACCGGAGAGGGAAGUUUCCAGCAAAGGAGCAGCGCUGGGGUGGGAGUGGGGGGGUGGGGAGGCUGGGACCAGUCACAGGCCUGCACUCUGCCCACCUGGGCUGCUUUGCCUGUUCUUGAUGUUUGUGGGUGCCCCACCCCCCACUUCUCCCAGGGGGCAGCGGCGAAUCUGUCCCCCUCCCCGGGGCGCCCCUGCCCCUACCUGGUUCCAGGCCCGGCUCCUGCAGGUCCUGGGAAGCAACCCUGCUUCCCCACCUCCCCCUUCCCCGGUGGCAUCCCCGUGGCUCCUCGAUCUCACACCUACCUCCCGCUCAGGCAUGUCCUUCCCAGUCUUUGCUCCCCCUCUUCUCUCUGCCCCUGUAGGGUUUUCUCUUGGAGCCGCUUCACACCCGUCUAUGGAAUUGCAACUCUCUCCUCAAUGACCACCUGCGGAUCCACUCCCAGAUGGCGCUCGGGCGCAGUCCCACGGCCACCUCCUGGGUUACCGCCACACUCACGGUCAGCCUGCCGUCUCCCGCUCUGCCUUCCUCCAGUCCGUUAUCCGCACAGCCUCCAGAACGAUCUCUCAGAAAGUAAAUCAAGCGGGGCCACCGUGUUGCUAAAGCCCCCCGGGGCGCCCCCAGUCCUCCAGAUAAAGCCACAGCCCUCAUUCUGCACCAGUCCAGGUGCCUCGCUGGCUUCACCUUGACCCUCACCGAGCUUCAGGGCUUCAAACACAUCGCUUCUGCCGCUUCCCUGCCCUUGGCUGCACCUUGCUAGCUGUCCAACUCGUCUCAUUCCGGAGACCACUUUACCUGGGUACCUCCCCAGGCCCGGAGGGUUGGGCUUAGGGGUCUUCUCUGUGCUCCCACGGCCCGCAGCAGCAUCUGCUCUGAGGGUUUAUCAUGCAGAAUUACACCUGUCCGCCGCUUUUCUGACCCUUCCCCCCGCCCCCCAGGUUGUGAGUCCCCUGAGGUCAAGGACGCGGUCUGCUGCCCCCACGGUAUCUUCAGCUGGCCUCUGACUCGGGCACGGUGCUCGAGAUUCUCUCAAUAAACAUCUACUCAAUGAGCGAGUGACUAAGCGA
rnacentral:lncRNA from 1 species